rnacentral:pre_miRNA from 1 species
AACAAAUAGAUUGGUAAGCGGUACAAAAACAUGCUUAUUUGGUACAAAAACAUAUGUAAGCAUGUUUUUGUACCGCUUACCAAUUUAUUUGUU